CCGUUUCUUUUUCCUACAUUUUUUUUUCACACUAUAAAAACCAAACCCAUUUUUCUUAUUUCAUUUCUGCUUCCCUUAGAAAAAAAUUCUCAUAUCUUCUCCAAAACAAAAUAGACCACCACCUAUCUCAUACCCAUACUCAGGCGGUUGGCCACUGUGGCGUCACCGUCCACCGUCAGCUCACCUCCUUUUCAACUCAAACUUCACCCAGAGCCUUAUAUUCACCUUCUCUUUCUCGUUCUCCAAAUGGUUUUCCUAAAAAUUGCCUCUAAAGCCAUAGAUCUGGGAUUUUGAAUGGAAACUUCACAUCAACAUUUCACCCUCUUACCACCAUCACUCUACCUUUUUAGUAAGCUGUUCCUCUUCUUUCUUCCUUUCUUUCCACCAUUCGAAUUUGAAAAACUUGCUGUCGUUUGUCGCCUAUCAUUAUAUCGUCGCUCCUGCCGUUCACGGUGGUUUCUGUCCUCUUACCCUCUAAAGCUUAGUGUCGAAAGUCUUCAAAGAUCACUUAAACUAGACCCUUAAUCCCUUUUAUAUUUUAUUUUUUGUGCUUUUUUUAUUUUUUAUUUAUUGAUUGGUCCCUAAAAGGGAAUGAGAAAAUUUUUUUUUAUGGGUUUGUGUCGAAGGGAUGAUGGUAGUAAUCGACUGUGGGUCUAGAGGGUAAUGGGUGAUUUGAGUGUUAUUGGUGGUGUUGGUUGGCGAAGGUAGAGGGUGUCGACAGUAAGGAGUUUUUGGUUAGAAUGGAGCUUGGUGGGUGAUGGCAAUAAAUUCAGGUAUGCAUGGUUUAUGGAAAGGGUGGUUUUCGGUGGUUAUUCUAAGUAAUGAUGUGCGGUUAUAGAAAGGAUGGGGUUGUUCUUGGUACUGUAUUGAAUCUGGUGGUGGUGUGGCAGUGUUUUCGGUGAUGGUGCUUGUCAAGUUGAGAACUUAAUGCUUGUGGGGUUGCAAUGGUGGUUUCGAUUUUUUGGUUAAGGGUGGAUAGGCAUUUGUUUUUUUUUGUGUAGAAUGUUUUUCGUUGUUGAGCCGAAUGCUUCCUUUUAUCUAUAAAUUUCUUGUUGUGACCUGCAAGCUGGUUGCAGGGUCUGGUUUGUACGGUAGUGGAGGUCGUUAUGGAUUCUUGUGGCCAGAAUUUUACCUCUAGUAUAGUGGUUGCUGGCCACUUCCGCCUGUUUGGUUUGUUUUCUUGUUUUUUUUUUGUGAUUUUUUAUUUUUUAAGUAAUAAAAAUAAAAAUGAAAUUGGUUUUAAAAUGAAAAUUUGGAUUCCAUUAAUUUUGGGACCUU
rnacentral:lncRNA from 1 species